UUUCAGACGCAGCGGGAGUUGGAGAAAAGAAUAACCAGAGCACUAGAAGAAGCUGCUACCAAAUUUGAAUGAGGAUCCUGUAGAAAUCCUUUAGUAUCUACUGAUGAUUCAAUUCUAAAUCAAGAUCCAGUAUGGAAAGCGUCACGAGAAUAUGUACAGAUUUUGAACAAAAAUUAUACAAUUUGAAAAAUAAAUAGAAAAAAUUUA